GGAUGUGAGGGUGAUCUGGCUGCGUGAGACCUCUGUCACCCCAUUCAUCUCCAGGGUUGAUUCGGCUGAUCUGGCUGGCUAGGCAGGUGUCCCCUUCUUCCCUCACUGCUCCAUGUGUGUUCCUCCUGAAGCUGUGCACUUGUUUGAAGAGGACGGUCUUCCCCGAAUAGAGUCUGACUGCUCUUCGGUUGAGGGUAUAGGAGUAGCUGUACUCCCCUGCUAGAACUUCCAAACAAACUAGCUCUCAAGAAUUUAGUUUCUUGGUCACACCUACCACAUUUCAAGUACUCAUUAGCUGCAUAUGGCUAAUGGCUGUUGCAUUUAA
ensembl:misc_RNA 7SK 7SK RNA